CCGCGUCGGGUUGUGUAUUUACUGCGCUGUGUUAGUGUCAGACCUUGCCUCUGCAGACAAGAGGCUCGUCAAACCCCGCCAACUGGUGGGGUUUUGUUUUAUU
rfam:Pseudomonas syringae pv. pisi str. 1704B contig23.9, whole genome shotgun sequence.